UCGGAACGUGUCCCGUAGUGGGGGAUAGCCCGGCGAAAGCCGGGCUAAUACCGCAUAUGCUCUACGGAGGAAAGCGGGGGACCCGGCAGGCAACUGAGGGGCCUCGUGCUAUGGGAGCGGCCGAUGUCCGAUUAGCUAGUUGGUGGGGUAAAGGCUUACCAAGGCUUCGAUCGGUAGCUGGUCUGAGAGGAUGAUCAGCCACACUGGGACUGAGACACGGCCCAG
rnacentral:rRNA from 1 species